UUUGAUGGCGAAGGCCCUUGCCCUUGAAGGGAGUUUUUUCGAACAUAUCGAAACAACAGCCCGUCGUCGUUCUAUUGAGGUCGAACCUUUCUUUUUUGAUGGUGAAGGCCCUUGUCCUUGAAGGGUGUUAUUUCAAACUUAUCGAAAUAACAACCGAUCGUCGUUCGAUCAAGGUCGAACCUUUCUUUUUUGAUGGCAAGUCCCUUGGCCUUGAAGGGUGUUAUUUCGAAAUUAUUGAAAUAACAGCCCAUCGUCGUUCUAUCGAGGUCGAACCUUUAUUUUUUAAUGGCGAAGGACCUUGGCCUUGAAGGGUGUUAUUUCAAAAUUAUCGAAUUAAUAGCCCAUCGUCGUUCGAUCAAGGUCGAAACCUUUCUUUUUGAUGGCGAAGGUCCUUGGCCUUGAAGGGUGUUAUUUCGAACUUAUCGAAAUAACAGCCCGUCGUCGUUUGAUCGAGGUCGAACCUUUAUUUUUGGAUGGUGAAGGCCCUUGGCCAUGAAGGGUGUUAUUUCGAACUUAUCGAAUUAACAGCCCGUCGUCGUUCGAUCAAGGUCGAACCUUUCUUUUUUUAUAGCGAAGGCCCUCGGCCUUGAAGGGUGUUAUUUUGAACUUAUCGAAAUAACAGCUCGUCAUUGUUCGAUCGAGGUUGAACCUUUAUUUUUUGAUUGCGAAGGCCCUUGGCCUUGGGUGUU
rnacentral:lncRNA from 1 species